AAACCAUUUUUCCUCCAAAAUACGGAUUGCUCACUUCCUAUUUCUCUCUUUGGUGAAGAUAUUAUCAAGAGCCGAUGAUCUCUCCAAUUUCUAUCCAUGUUCUUCCUCCUCAAAAUCAAUGAUCAUUAAGCCAUCUUAUUAUAUAUAACGAGCCACUUAUCUUCUCCUUCAAUGAAUCUCAUGCGGCGUGUUUGUCACCAACAACUUGAAAUUGAGAUUGACUACCAAAGAUUAUUCCUAGUGCGCUUUUCUUAUUCUCAAGUAUACAACAUAUAUGAGUACCAACAAUGAAAGAACCAAAUCAAAAACAUCGUCAUGCCCACCACUGUCAAACAUCACAAAUGCGUCAAGAAAAAUAGAAACAAACAUUUGUGCCUUAUAAUUCAGUUGGUCAAAAUGAUGUAAAGAUUGACACCCAAACUAAAUGUAUUGGCAUAAGCAAAGAUUAUCUGGAUUUUGGUAAUGCGGUAUAUGUUUGCUCUGUACAUAAAGCUAGGGUUCGAAAGGGAGAAGCAAUAAGAGGAAAUAAAGAUUUAAGGAAAACGUUUUAUUCCAUAUGUUGUUACAAUGGAAAAGUAGAAUUACCAAACUUGAUUCACCCACCUUGGUUAUUGCUUGAUUUAUAUAGCGGAGUUACUGAAAAUUCCAUUCCAUUUUCAAUGUAGAUUUUUCAACGAGACUACUUAUAUACCUCGCAUGAAG